UACGUAGGUGGCAAGCGUUGUCCGGAUUUACUGGGCGUCAAGGGCGUGUAGGCGGUUAGGUAAGUGGAACGUGAAAUCCCUCGGCUCACCCGAGGACCUGCGUCCCAAACUGCCUAGCUUGAGUAUGGGAGAGGAUGAGGGAAUUCCUGGUGUAGCGGUGAAAUGCGUAGAGAUCAGGAGGAACACCCGUGGCGAAGGCGGCCGACUGGGUCGGUCCUGACGCUGAGGCGCGAAAGCGUGGGGAGCGAACGGG
rnacentral:rRNA from 1 species